rnacentral:rRNA from 1 species
UCAAGAAACUUCCACAAUGGGCGAAAGCCUGAUGGAGCGACGUCGCGUGAUGGACGAAGUGCUUCGGCACGUAAACAUCUUUUAUGUGGGAUGAAAUUAUUGACAGUACCACAUGAAUAAGGGGCUCCUAACUCUGUGCCAGCAGGAGCGGUAAUACAGAGGCCCCAAGCGUUAUCCGGAAUCACUGGGCGUAAAGGGUGUCGAGGCGGUUGUAUUAGUCGUUCGUAAAAUCUACGAGCUUAACUUGUAGGCGGCGAACGAAACGGUACGACUUGAGGUUUGGAGAGGUGCGUGGAACUCACGGUGUAGGGGUGAAAUCCGUUGAUAUCGUGGGGAACACCAAAGGCGAAGGCAGCGCACUGGCCAAAAUCUGACGCUCACACACGAAAGCUAGGGUAGCGAAGAGGAUUAGAUACCCCCGUAGUCCCUGAGCGGGCUGGCAAGGCGCAU